CAAACAAAUGAAUUCCUUCACCAUCUUCAUUUGGAUUCUGGGAGUUUUUAUUCCAGAAUCCAGAGGAGUUACUGUAACUCAGAGUAAAGCUGAACCUGUUUCUGAGGGUCAAAAUGUAAAUAUAAAGUGUACAACUAAUCCUGGAAUAUAUAGCUUGGGUUUAUCUUGGUAUCAGCAGAAACCUGGAGAAGCUCCUAAACUCCUCAUUACUGCAGUAGAUAGUCGUUAUGGUGACACUCCAGAUCGAUUCAGUGGAGAUGGAACAUCUGGUGGUACAGAUUUCACUCUGAGCAUCAGUGGAGUUCAGGCUGAAGAUGCAGGACAUUAUUACUGUGUGAGUUUUCACUGCUCAGUAGAUGAAGACAAUGAUUGUGUGGGUGACUAUGUGUUCACACAGUGAUAAAGUCUCGUACAAAAACCUCCAUCAGUCAGACUGACAAAGAUACACCUGACACACACACACACACCGUAUUGGGAAAUAUAAAUCUUAUUAUUUGAAUUAUUAUUUUACACUUUUUAGAAUUUUGCAAUUUAGAUUUUAAAUUUAGGCGAAAAA